UACAGAGGUCUCAAGCGUUGUUCGGAUUCAUUGGGCGUAAAGGGUGCGUAGGCGGCGCGGUAAGUCGGGUGUGAAAUCUCGGAGCUUAACUCCGAAACUGCAUUCGAUACUGCCGUGCUUGAGGACUGGAGGGGAGACUGGAAUUCCCGGUGUAGCGGUGAAAUGCGCAGAUAUCGGGAAGAACACCCGUGGCGAAGGCGGUUCUCUGGGACGGUACUGACGCUGAGACGCGAAAGCGUGGGGAGCGAACAGG
rnacentral:rRNA from 1 species